rnacentral:tRNA from 1 species
GCUUUCGUGGUGUAAAGGUAGCACACUAGGCGCGUAUUCUAGAGGUCCAAGUUCGAAUCCCGGCGAGGGCA